rnacentral:rRNA from 1 species
UUUCCGGUUGAUCCUGCCGGACCUGACUGCUAUCGGAUUGAUACUAAGCCAUGCGAGUCUUUGCAGUAAUGCAAGGCAUACGGCUCAGUAACACGUAGUCAACUUACCCUAUGGACGAGGAUAAUCUCGGGAAACUGAGCAUAAUACUCGAUAGAUCAUAAUGCCUGGAAUGGUUUAUGGUUGAAAUGAUUCGUCGCCAUAGGAUGGGACUGCGGCCUAUCAGCUUGUUGGUGAGGUAAUGGCCCACCAAGGCGAUUACAGGUACGGGCUCUGAGAGGAGAAGCCCGGAGAUGGGUACUGAGACAAGGACCCAGGCCCUAUGGGGCGCAGCAGGCGAGAAAACUUUGCAAUGUGCGAAAGCACGACAAGGUUAAUCCGAGUGAUUUCUGCUAAAGAAAUCUUUUGCAAGUCAUAAAACCACUAGUGAAUAAGGGGUGGGCAAGUUCUGGUGUCAGCCGCCGCGGUAAAACCAGCACCUCAAGUGGUCAGGAGGAUUAUUGGGCCUAAAGCAUCCGUAGCCGGCUCUGUAAGUUUUCGGUUAAAUCCAUGUGCUCAACGCAUGGGCUGCCGAAAAUACUGCAUAGCUAGGGAGUGGGAGAGGUAGACGGUACUCGGUAGGAAGGGGUAAAAUCCUUUGAUCUAUCGAUGACCACCUGUGGCGAAGGCGGUCUACCAGAACACGUUCGACGGUGAGGGAUGAAAGCUGGGGGAGCAAACCGGAUUAGAUACCCGGGUAGUCCCAGCUGUAAACGAUGCAGACUCGAUGAUGCAUUGGCAUAUAGCCAGUGCAGUGUCGCAGGGAAGCCGUUAAGUCUGCCGCCUGGGAAGUACGUACGCAAGUAUGAAACUUAAAGGAAUUGGCGGGGGAGCACCACAAGGGGUGAAGCCUGCGGUUCAAUUGGAGUCAACGCCGGG